AUAUAUAUUAAAAAAAUAUAUUAAAGUUGAUUUUAAAUGUAUUAUUUUUUUUGUGUUUUACAAUUUUCUAUAAUUUUAAACC
rnacentral:sRNA from 1 species